GCAGAUGCUCGCGCCUGCGCGUUUGCCGUGCGUUUCUCAUGCAGAGCACGAUGCUUCCUGCAACAUUUCCGCAAACAGGCUGCAGUGCGCCGUAGUCUCGACGAUUAACUGUGACCCCUCUGUCUAAGCGGACAAGUGCACCAAAAUCAUGCCAGCAAAGUGCCUCCCACAGCAGAACAUAGACACCGGACCCCCGCACUGUAGGGAUCAAGCAUUCAAGCCAGGUGGAAAUCACACAUAUAUACUCAUCCACUUGUCGAGCUUAUGAAGAAUGACUCAGCUGACCAGAUCACUUUUCCCCCACAUCUCUAUACCAGUGCUUGUGGUUUUUGCAUCACUGAACUCCUAAAUCUGCAUCUGUCUAUGUAAUGGCAAAUAUAAUAUCUCUCUACA